rnacentral:rRNA from 1 species
GACGAACGCUGGCGGCGUGCUUAACACAUGCAAGUCGAGCGGUAAGGCCCUUUCGGGGGUACACGAGCGGCGAACGGGUGAGUAACACGUGGGUGACCUGCCCUCAGCUCUGGGAUAAGCCUGGGAAACUGGGUCUAAUACUGGAUAUGACUCCACGGUGCAUGUCGUGGGGUGGAAAGCCUUGUGCGGCUGAGGAUGGGCCCGCGGCCUAUCAGCUUGUUGGUGGGGUGANGGCCUACCAAGGCGACGACGGGUAGCCGGCCUGAGAGGGCGACCGGCCACACUGGGACUGAGACACGGCCCAGACUCCUACGGGAGGCAGCAGGUGGGGAAUCUUGCGCAAUGGGCGAAAGCCUGACGCAGCGACGCCGCGUGAGGGA